rnacentral:rRNA from 1 species
AUGACUACCUUGGAUAUGACCAAAAAUAUUGCAUAUAUGCAUAUUUGUCAGGUGAUUUCUAGUGCAAACUAUUCAAUAAUCUAUUUAUGUUAUCCAGAACAAAAAUACUUCACACACUUUUGUGUUUUGUCUAAUUGCAGGUGUAUGGGACAUUUGUACAAUCCACAUAUGAAGAUAAGGAAGAAAGAGAUGUUUAUUUGCUGUCCAAAAAGUUCUCUCACGUCACUUUUGGCCCAAGAGAAGAUAGAGUCCAAGUCUCUCACGUUCUGGAUUCAGAUUCGGACUGCACAGACAUACCUGACUGAAAACGCACACAAGUUUUUCAUACGGACUCCGAAUUGGGUGAUUCUUUUUUUGUUGGAAACUAGAUUUCGUGCACUUUCCAACCCAAUUGGAAUCACCUUCAAAUUCGUCCGGAGCGUUGAGUUGUGGACGAAACAAUCUGAUGCUGCAGCAGAAUCCGAGUCAAACUACAAGUCCAAAGGAAUAGACCUUCGUGGUCAGGUUGAUUGUGCUCCAGCGUGGUCAAUAACCUUUCGGAGUUGGUUUAGCGAUUGCUAA